rnacentral:rRNA from 1 species
CCUACGGGAGGCAGCAGUGGGGAAUCUUGGACAAUGGGCGCAAGCCUGAUCCAGCCAUGCCGCGUGAGUGAUGAAGGCCCUAGGGUCGUAAAGCUCUUUCGCCUGUGAAGAUAAUGACGGUAGCAGGUAAAGAAACCCCGGCUAACUCCGUGCCAGCAGCCGCGGUAAUACGGAGGGGGUUAGCGUUGUUCGGAAUUACUGGGCGUAAAGCGCGCGUAGGCGGACUAUUAAGUCAGAGGUGAAAUCCCGGGGCUCAACCCCGGAACUGCCUUUGAUACUGGUAGUCUUGAGUUCGAGAGAGGUAAGUGGAAUUCCGAGUGUAGAGGUGAAAUUCGUAGAUAUUCGGAGGAACACCAGUGGCGAAGGCGGCUUACUGGCUCGAUACUGACGCUGAGGUGCGAAAGUGUGGGGAGCAAACAGGAUUAGAUACCCUGGUAGUCCACACCGUAAACGAUGAAUUCCAGUCGUCGGGUAGCAUGCUAUUCGGUGACACACCUAACGGAUUAAGCAUUCCGCCUGGGGGGUACGGUCGCAAGAUUAAAACUCAAAGGAAUUGACGG